UGCACAACCUUAAACUUUAACAAAAUAAUACAUUUUGUUCGCCAGGGUACUACGAGCAUAAGCUUAAAACCUAAAGGACUUGGCGGUGCUUUAGUCCCAUCUAGAGGAGCCUGUUCUGUAACCGAUAACCCCCGUUAAACCUCACCUUUUCUUGUUAAUUCCGCCUAUAUACCGCCGCCGUCAGCUUACCCUGUGAAGGUUAUUUAGUAAGCAAAAUUGAUUUAAUCCAAAACGUCAGGUCGAGGUGUAGCGUAUGAAAAGGAAAGAAAUGGGCUACAUUUCCUAUAUUAGGAUAAUACGGAAAUUGACAUGAAACAAGCACAUUCAAGGAGGAUUUAGCAGUAAGAAGGGAAUAGAGAGCCCUACUGAAACUGGCCCUGAAGC
rnacentral:rRNA from 1 species